rnacentral:misc_RNA from 1 species
GUAUUGUAUUGCGUUAAACGCGGUAUGCAUUCCAUGAGACUUUACUACUGUGUGUGUGUGUGUAAAUACAUAGAACCACGGCAGGGGACAGAGCCCCCAGGCUGCAGAACUAUGGAGGGUGCACAGGUGUGAGUGGAUGUGUAAACAGAGCGUGCACGUGUCCCCACUUGAGGACCAGCAACAACUCGUGUUGACAAUUCGGUAAUGAUCCUUCCGCAGGUUCACCUACGGAAA